AGAGAGAGAGAGAGAGAGAGAGAGAGAGAGAGAGAGAGAGAGAGAGAGAGAGAGAGAGAGAGAGAGAGAGAGAGAGAGAGAGAGAGAGAGAGAGAAACCACCACUAAGAACUUCCACCCCGGACUGCUGGUGCUUCUGUGCCUCACACCACAUCUUUUAUGACAAUGAUUAAUGACUUCUGCUUGCCUGGGGGUCGACACCUCUCCAUUAGCGGCUCACACGCCAGCAGAGCAGCGGCCUGAGUGACACUAGCCAGCUCCCCAGCCCAUCUUCAGCCUUGAAAAUUGAUAUAAUGACAACGUCGAGGUCACACGACCGUCCUUAUGGGUCACCAUAAUAGAGGGGAGACAAGAGGAAAUUAAUGUGGUGCGGGAACAGGGACCGCCAGCCGUCCCCGUGACCAGCCACCACCACGACAACAUCCCGUCCCCUCAUCCCACAGCGGGGAAGCAGCGGCCAAUGCACCGCUCCUGAACUUCCCUCAGGCCAGGCGACACCACACUGACGACCCGACUGGACACACCUGAUUCACUGCAGCACGGCCCGCCACCAACCGCCCGCUGACAGACAUCCCCAGGGAAUUCUUCCUCUUCCCGUUACCCAGCCUCGCCUACCCCGCCUCGCCUCCCACCAUUAUGACCUCGCUGUGUCGGCACCAGAUAAACUUCCCUAAUAAUAAAUGAAGGCGAUAAAUUUACCUUUCAAGCCGUUAGUGGUCGACGUGCCUCUUCCCCCACCAAGCCUGAGGUGCAGGAGUCCUUGUAGCUGGCGGCUGGACGAGGAGGACGAAGAAACACACGAGGACGCCGGUCUUUCACGAGGCAGCCAUACACGGGAGAUUAACCCCUUCAGUACUGGGACGCAUUUUUUCUUGAGUUUUGGAUAAGAUUAGACGAUCUUAUUUACAUGAGGAUGGGUCUAUGGAGUUCAGAAGAUUAAUGGUCAGAGUCUUCACUUUCUUAAUCCCCAAGUAAGUUUCUGAAGUUGUGUAAAAUCACCAAAUACUAACCUGAAUAAAUGUGAAGACCUGUCCUGGUACUGAAGGGGUUAAUAAGCUACACAAACACCACCGAUGAUCAAAGGCGAAAAAUCACGAGAUGCGGAGAGUACAUAGCAACAGACUGAGUCGAGGAGAGCGAGUCAAUACUGGUGGAGAUGGUGGUGGUGGGAUACGGAAAGGGAGUAUACCAUGGCAGCUUCAGCGGCGAUUCGAAGCACUACAAUGAAUCCUGUAAGAGAAUUAUUACGAUGCGUGACUGAGGAGUUUCGCCAGCAUUCAGAAACGCCUUCCCUUCUCACUAUGAUGAUUUUGCAAGGCCACAGACACAACUAGAUAGGAUUUCAAUACCAUUGUGGUAACCUGACGCAGUCAAAGAAGAAAGAAGAAAUAAGAGGGAAGAAACAAGAAAAGAGAAUACAAGGAGAAAAGCAGAAACAUGAAGGAGGAAGAGAAAAAAAUAGAGAAAAGUAGAAAAACAUUGUACCAUGUAGUAGGAUUUUUGGUAGGGGUUUGAGUGUAACAAAUGACGGUCUGCCCAAAGGUCUACCCAUGACCAGACUCAAACAUAACAUGUAAACAUAGAAAUGAGGGAGUUGACAGAAAUAUAUGGGGUGGUGGUUGAAAGGAAUUCAGUGGAGGCACACAUGGUCCUGACCUGUGGAACGCAGGUCACCGCAAGCGAGGGGACACUUUGGCUAGUGCCAUACCUUACCUCAGAUACCAGGAUUGGGUGAAAUAUAGUGCCACGCCUAGGGGGCGUGUCUAUGUAGAAUGUAUUUUUGGGGAUUGGGUCAAAAUAUACCUUGCCACGCCUAAAGGGUGUGUUUGGGUAACUUAUAUUACUGUGGAUUGGGUCAAGAUAUAACUGCCCAUGCCUAAGGGUGUAUCUGGAUGACUUGUGUUAUUGUGGAUUGGGUCAAGAUGCAUUGCCACGCCUAGAGGGUUGGAAAAUAACAUGUGUAUUACUGGGGAUUGGUUUAAAAAGUACAUUGUCACACUUGUAGGGUGUGACUUAGGUGAGAUGUGCAUUUCUGCUUGGAAAAUAUGGAAACUAACAAUCUAGGAGUAUAAAAUAAGUUGUAACUGAGGGGAAAAAAGGCUUUUUGUUGGGAGUCAAGAAAAGAGAGCUAGAGGGAGAAGGUCGCAGGCUCCUGACUGGAGAGGCGUCAGAGGCGACAUGGAGAAUUCUUGUAUUAGUAAGUGAAGCUUAAACAGUUGGUGGUGCAGUUUUAGUUAAUUAUCACCUCAUGGAGUAGAGGAGGAUAGAAUAUUUUAGGAUGUCAUAUUUGUAGGAUGUUUAGAUUUAAGAUUUGUGGUGGAUUUGAUAUGUUGUGUGAGAUGGAUUUGGAAUAUGUUGAGUGAGUUUGAUUUUGAAUGUUGAUACUUGGAUUUUGAUGAAAAACUUUUGAGAACAGUGUCACUUAUAUGGAAUGAGAAUUUGCUACUUGCUGAAGUAAUUAUUGAUGAAUAUUGUGUACGUAGUUUUAAUGUAAUUAAAUGUCGAAAAUUUAGCA